rnacentral:lncRNA from 1 species
GCUGUGCUCUAUUUGGUUUCUUUGCAAAAAGUAGGGGGUGGUUUUUCUUUUGCUCUUGAAGGUGAGGCUUGCUGCUCUUAAGUUUUUGGGUCUGUGUCGUUUUUAUGAGCUGUAACACUCACCGUGGAGGUCCGCAGCUUCAGUUCUGAAGUCGGGGAGACAACGAACCAAGCAGAAGGAAGAAACUGCGUACACAUGAGCUUCUGAAGGAACAAACUCCGGAGGCACCAUCUCUAAGAACUGUAACACUAGCUGCGAGAGUUAGAGGCUUCAUUCUUGAAGUCAGCGAGAGCAAGAACUCACUAGUUCCGGGCACACCAUGUGCUAGUGAUACGCAGUAUGAUGCUCUCUCCAGAUGCUGGGCAGUCAGCCAGGGUAUCAUCAGGAUAAACCACCAACAUUCUUCAGCGUGCAGUGUUGUCAGAUAAUUCUGCCCAGCUGCAGGCUAAUGCAAGUGUCCUGAGGAUGUUCAAGAGCAAGAAACUCCAUGUGGUAGAUAGAAUCAUCGUGGUUCUUCAUGGCCUGGCUAGAUGUGUGGAUCUUUCCCAAAAGGAAAGGUAGGAGAUAAUUAAUGGCUGGUUGCCAUAAUCUAUAAUAUAUGAAUUACACAAAUUGCCUAGAAAUCCUAAAUAAACCCGGGUUUUAU